UUGGGUUUUUUGUUUGGUUGUUUUGUGAGGCGUUUGAAUUUUAUCUGAUUUUCUCCAAUACAGUAAUUGAAAUCAGUGUAUUUUUUACUGAAGGAACUACAGUUUUGGUCUUAGAAAACUUGAUCAGAAUAAUGUUAACCCUAACAGAUCACUUUCUAUUAUUUUGAGUGCUGUAUCAUAUCUGAUGAGGUUCAACAAGAGCAAGUGUAGUGUCUUGCACCUGGGGAGGAAUAACCACAUGCAUCAGUACAGGUUAGGGGAUGACCUGUUGGAGAGAAGCUCUGCAGAGAAGGACCUGGUCUGUAAUCUUACAUUCUAAAUUUGAUUAUUAUGAAUCUUUUCUUUAAAACCUUGCUAGUAGUUUUCAAAACUAAGCCCAAACUAACAUUAGGAAUUAACUUCAACUGAUUUCUAUGAUAGUACACUUAUUAAUAUUGUUUCCACAUGGGCACAAAGGACUGUUGAUAUUUUUAAUAUAUUUGAUAUUUUUUAUUGAUAUUGAUAUUUUUUGUCAUAACUACCUAAAACUAUGUGGGGGAAAAAUGUUAUACUCUGAGAGAUAAGAGCAUGUUGUUACUUACAAAAAUUUGUUUUGAUCCUGAUUUUUCUCAUAGUACUUCAUUGCAUUGUUUUUUAUUAUUAUUAUUAAUGUUUUCAUAUAUUUAUGUCUGUCUAGCAAUUAUUACUGUGCCUAUUAAACAGUAUCAUUUCAUUCUAGGAAGCUACAUGUAAUAAUGCUGCAAGAUGAGAGAAGUCUUUGUGAAGUUGCUACUGUAUCCUAUUAUAAUAGCAAGAACAGAAAAUGGAGCCCAGAGAUAAGAGAAAAAUAUAAGCAGCAACUGUGCAAGAGAACAUAUGAAGAAAAGAUGUGUUUUAUUGGGUCAGACCAACCAUUUAUUUAUAGAACCAUUUUCAACAUUAACUACAGAUAAUACAAUGCCAGGAGCCAGGCCCUUUCUCUGUCUCAUAGCCAUCACACUAGUGCAUUGCUAGUAUCAACAGCUGUUCCAGAAAUAUUAGAGGAUACAAUCCUGAGAAACGAUGAAGAAAAGGUAGUAUUUUCUUUUAUGUAUACUCUCAGGCCCUUACAUUGCUGUUAACAAAGCAAAGAGGUCUCCCAUUUGUGGGAUGUGUCCUGUCAAAUUUGAACAAAAUAACUGUGAUAUAAUGCAUGGCAUAGAGACAUUGUCAAGUACCUGAAAAGCAACAGUUAAUUUCUACUGGGCUGGUGUGAAUUCAUAGCUCGUAUUUCUUCUCAAGAUUAGAUUCAUACUGGUCCUAUAGCACAUAUUGGUAGAUCAGUGUGUUCAGAUAUAUAUUUGUAUCAAUUUAUGGCUUCCUCAUGAAUAACGGAAAUGACAUACUUCUUUCUGAAAUGGGACUGUUUCAUUGUCAUAUGAUUCUUCUAAUCUUCAGAUACCUGCAUAAGUUGCACUGACAUUUAAUGUCCCUUACAUUUUAUCAGUAGAAUUCAUACCCCUGAUGUUUAUCAGAAAGAGAUUCUGAAGAUUUUACUGUAUAUUUUUGUAAAUGGAAGGAUGAUUUUUGAUGAAAAUAAUAGUGAUUUUGGAUGGCUCCAUCUGAUAUGUAACAAGACUUUCUUCAGAUGGCAGAUGGAAAAACAAUUUAGAAGCUUUUACUUCAUGGGAUAAAUCAAAAUUUUAAAUGUAGAAGACAGUGUGAAGUUACUGGCCAAAGAAAUGUAUGCUUCCCAAACAUGAAAUACAGUGGAAAGAGAAAAUCAAGACCAUGUAACUUAAAAAAAUGUUUACUCAUUAGUUGAAUACACCAUUUAUUAUAAUUUUCCUACUGUAUAGUUACUAGUUGUUUUUCAAAUUAAUAUUUUUGUACAUUGUUAUCUACAAAUCAUUCUAAACAAGUAUGUUGGAGGAGCCUUCAAUUCCUGCUGAGCACACAACCAUAUCUGACACUGCCCAGAGAUAAAUGAAUUGUUGCUUUGCAUAUUUUUGAAGAUGGCUCCACUUUUCAUGCUUAAUCUAAGAUCAUUAUUUCAAACCACAGCAUGUUCUCACAAAGAUUGAGUAUUUCUGCCACCUCUCAAACAGGAAAGAAUAUUUACAGUCUUAUGCUGAAACAUAUUUAUACUGCAAAAUAAAGUUGGCGGGUACUAUCUAAAUAUGUGUGCCAAUAUUAUGAUGACAUAAAAAACUUAGAUCAUGUUGCAAGAUUAAAUGCUGAUUUUGUGGCAAAUUAUUACUGGCAUAUAUAAAGGCUAAAAAUAAAGUACACUGUAUGUUCUGUUCUAUGUUAACUUGCACAUCUAUUUCUUAACUGAUCUUGGUAGCAAAAUUUGAAUUUUCACUUUGGAUGAUGAAUAGUUGUUGAAGAAUGAACGUUGUUAAGUCAUAAUUGUAGGACAGAAAAAAGAUGCAAAGUCAGCAAAGCAGAAUAAAGGAAGAACAUGAAAGGCUUAAGUUAAAUUAGAACAGGAAGCGAAGGAAGACAAUGGAGGAUAAAAUCAACUUACUGUCCUUUUGAACUGUCCCUACCCUGGAUUCCUGUAGAUGUUAGGCACUUUUCACUCAUACUGGUGAGUACAGUAUCCCAGCAGUUACCCAUACUUUCAUAACACAUUAAUAAGUCUGUAGUUCAGAAGUGCAGAUUCCUACACCAGACUGUGUGAUAUACCCGGGCCUUUUCAAUACAGCUUGGAUAGGUCACCAAGCUAAUCCAAACUAAUAUGUUCAGGAUUCCAAGAGCCUUUUCAAGUAAUUGAUCCACUAGUAGAAGUCUGAAAAUGAAACCAAUGACUUCAUUCUAGUUUUCGGUCCUCCUUAUCCACCCAUAUAAGCAGAUCAAAGGUAUUUCAGAUAUAUUUAAUACUAACCUGAGGAAUAGCUGUAGCCUUGGUUACUUUGUAUUGCUGCCUUCUGUCUCUUUGAACCACCUUAAAAUCUCCUGUAAAAAUAUCAAAGACUACUGAUCACAUAUACACAGACUUUAAAACUUCUCUAAAGGUCACUGCCACGCCAGCAGAUAAGGAAUAAGUCAAAGGUUCAGUACCUCUUUCAUAACAUUUCUCUCAGUGCAAACAUCUAAUAAUGAUCAUCAUAAUUAUAAAGCUGAGCGUACUAUUAACAACGAGUCCUACAUGAAGUUGUCUUUGCUCUGACUGUGUAUAGGAGGAUGGCCUAGAAGGCCUCCAGAGGCCAUUUACAGCCAACUUGUGAUUCUAUGAUUCUCAGCAGGAAAACAGCUCACAAUUCUUCAGACUGUGAACUCUCCAACUCUCCACUCUCAAGGCAGAAAGACCAGAGAAAAAAGAAUUCCAGUGAUAUCACCUGGACAACAGAUGGACUACAGACAACAUUACUUGUUUGGCACUGAGAAAGUACAAGACAAGAGAUGACCUGAAAUGUUAAGCUGUAAGAGGAAGAAUAAGAAGAAAUUGUGUUUUUAAUAAAAAAUUCAAGAAACAAGAUAAAAUACUUAGAACACUGCAAUACAUAGAAAACUGCAGGAAGUCAAACUGAGGAAAGAAGGGCCUUUUGUCUGCUUCAGAUAAUGAUUACCUGCUUGACUCUGGGAAAUGAUGUCUGCAUUUUUUCGCCAUUUGGACAGUUAGGUGUCUGUGCUACAUGUAGAACAAUUGGGUCCAGGUGUUUUCAUCCCUGGGUAGCUCCCACUAUUUAAUAUUAAUAACAACAUUAUUGAUUUCACAGAAAAUGGUAGUCAAGUUUUAAUGUCAUGGAGGAAUAAUCUAAGAAAUUCAGAUGACUAUCCUACUAAAGUCCAAUGUAUGUCUUAAUUUUUUAAAAGAUAAGAUGACAAUGAUUAAUUAAAAUAUCAAUGCUUUUUAUUGCAUAAUGUCUGUAUGGUCAUUCCUAUGAGAUAAGUUACUGGCGUUUUAAGGUUUCUUUUUCUUUUUCUUUUUCUUUUUCUUUUUCUUUUUCUUUUUCUUUUUCUUUUUCUUUUUCUUUUUCUUUUUCUUUUUCUUUUUCUUUUUCUUUUUUUUGUAAAUCCCAUAAUAGCAAUUUUAUUAUUGUUAAAAUUUCAUCCAAUGCUUUUCUAUUUAAUUUGAUUUUGGAGUAGCACCAUGUAUUGAUGGACUAAUACCAUCAGCUACAGUGCAUUUUCUAUCUGUUUAUCAAACAUUCAAAAUGGGAAUCACCUCUGAUUUGCUUUUUGUUACUUGCUACAUAUUACCGUAGGUAGUUUCACAUGAGUAAUUCCUGUUUAAUAUGUCUAUUAUAAAAACUGAAUAUCGGUGCAUGUCUUUUUGAGAAGUACAUCUAGCACAGCACUAUGCAGUUGUUGAGUCAGGUUUGCAUAUGCUUGCAUCAACAGCUACAGAAAGAGGAUAUGCAAUACAAAAACAGCAUGAGGAAGCUUCAAGUGGAAUGAAAACUACAUUCAGGUCUCUGAUCAUUUCAGCAGUGACUUAAGUUUUGCAUUAGGAUUUCUAAUACAUGCUCUGCAGCUGAUCUUUUAGAGAAUUUUGGCAAAAAAAAAAAAAAAGUGAGAAGUUUAGACAGGGUUGGGUUGUACUUUCUUUUGGAACUCUUAAAGAAUUGUAUGAUUCACUACCCUCACAUAAUAAUACUGAGCCAGAGUCACAGUUAUAAUCUUCAGUUUGUUUAUGUAUCCUUUUCUGAAAUACAUGAUUGGCAUAACUAGGAAAUAGGCCCAUGAGAUCAAAUUAUUCUUCAUUUCAGAGUUUCAGACUGUGAGCAAAAAUUUAUUCAGUGAAUGUAAUAUAUUUUCCUAGUUAACAUACCAUUUCCAGCCAACCGAAAGAGAUGGAGAUUGGUGUCACUCAGUAAAUAGCAGUUCAUCUCUUCAUAGUGCUUAUUAAGAUAUGACAUAUGACUGGAAAUGAUCUGGGCAAACUAGCUCAAUCUCCUGCUAUUCUCUAAUUCUUUUCACAAACUUUUUUAGAUCCUUCUUACAAACUAUCAGAUAUUUUUCUCUCUAAGCCCUAUGGGAGUUUGUUCCACACUUCAACUCUUCUAAUAGUUAGAAAUCUUCUAAUUUCCAGUCUAAAUUUAUUCAUAGCCUUUUACUAACAUUGUCCUUUAGCUUAAAUAGCUUUUCUCCUCCUGGGCAUUUUCCUGUCCAUCUCACUCCUGAGGUAUUUAUAGACAGCUGUCAUGUCUAUUCCCAUUAUUUGUUUGAGUAUUUGCAUUUUUUUUAUUAUGCUGUAAAUCACAUAGUGAUACUGCUAUUCCCUUCCUACAUGUAGGAGGAGGGCUUCUUGAACCAGUUAAAAAUUUUUAUAUUGAUGCUUGGGGAAUGAUCCUGUAGGCAAAUAUCUAUUUGCAUGAAGUGCUUUGAGACUGAAUUCUGUUAUUCAUUUUAUAGAUUUUGCUCUUAUCAGCAGCUCCUUCAUACCUAGAAUGAGGUACCUGCUCUGUUGCAACAGCACCUGGAAUUCAAAAUCACCUUGUAGCAACCAGCCCACCUUGGCAUCUUUCUUUGCUGACAAAGAAGUAACGUGGAGGGGAGAGAAGAGAAUAGAUAAAGGAUAAUAUUUCCUGGGUGUUAAAUACUUUUCAUCGGGAUGAUCAACUUCAGUGCUUUUUAGUGACUUUUAAUCCUUUUAACUCUUUUCUGAGCAUCUGUUUCCCUACUAUGCAGUUCAAUGCUGUCUGUAAAAAGUGAUUUGAUUGAUGUGUAAUGAAAUCUUACCUAAAUACUUUAGUAAAGUAUUGAUUGAACAAUUAUACUUCAUUUAUACUGAAGUGUUAUUUCUUCCUUCGUUCAGUUCUCUGUUCCUUGAUCUGAGAUUCUAUAGAUCCUUGUUAUGACUCUAUUUAUAAGAACUGACACCUUUAGGCUGUAAAUCAAUUUUCCAUUUUCAUUGUAUUGGAGAAAUUGCUUUUCAGUAUGAUUCUGCUCCUUCAAAGGACGGGUUCAGUGCAUCACUUAUACUUGAUUGAUCCACUACGUUUACUUUUGAAGAACUUGGCAAGGUUCACAGGUGGAGUACUCUGACAUAUUCCUAUUGCUAAAAAAGCUAUUUCAAUUUAAUAUUAAUGUUGAACUUUCUCACCUAGAACUGAAUGGACAGCUAUUAGGUUGGUUUGUGUGAUAGUGGAAUCAUUUCCCUGUUCAAUACCAUGUGGUUCUUGUACAUCCUAGUUUAUACUGUUUUUUCAAUUGUUAUUACUUUUUAUUCCCACUCUCUAAAACAAUCGGGACCAGCCACCAUCCUGCAGCCAGUUGAAGGAACAUUUCUAUUGCAGAUUAAAUAAAGAAUAUGAAUAAGCACAUUUGUUAAAGGAAAAGUCACAGUCACCUGGCUAUUGAAACAAAUGAAGGAUGUAUUUUUAAAUUGUACAUUCAUCUGGCUGGUUUAGGUAGUGCGUAUCUGUCCCGAGUCUCAACUUCAUCAAAGUUCUAAUGGAGCACUAGAAUUUGUUUAUGCUGUUCUAUGUACUUAACUUGACAACUUUGUUUUCAUCCUGUUAACUUUAAUUACUUAUUUUGAAGUCAACAGAUAUGUUAAAAAAAAAUCUAUCAAAACCAAAUAAGCUAAGAAGCAAACAAACAAACAAACAAAAAAACCCACUUUAUCUGGUUUUGAACAUUUUAUUUACUGAAUAUUUUCUUGAGUAUAAAAUUUAAAAAUGCAUCUUUCAUUUGUUUCAUUUUUACAACAUAAGAAUAAAAAUGGAAAAGUUUUACAACUAUGUGUACAUUUUUUCUUCGUUAAUAGUUUGUGACAUUCUUUUUAAUUACAAAGCUUAGCUGGCCUAGUGUGUGUGUUAUUUAUCAUCUUUGAAACAGUAAUACUUUAAUUAGGACACUAUGAGAUUUCUUCAUUUAUACUGAGAAUAUUUCUUCACGAGUUGAAUUUAUGAGUUUGGCAUCCUGUACUACACUACAUUAAUGAUGGCAUGAAAGGUGUGAAUAAACAUUGAGAUGCUUGGAUCUAAGAAUUCAGCUUCAGGUAAUUAAUUUUGAAAUCCUAUAAACUCUAUGCAGAUUUUAAAACACAUUAUGCGUACAACAUCUGCAAUAAAAAGCACAGUCAGUAUUCUCAGGUAGUCUUAAGUGAAUAGUGGUGGAUAUAUCAGCUCAAGUUAGAUAAAUGAAGACUUAAAUAGCUAUAUGAUUAUGAAAUUGACAUUAUUCAAAUAUUUUAUAAUAGAAAUUGACAUUAUUCAAAUAUUUUAUAAUACUUCAAGACUUGUAAAUUUCAAAAACGAUUAAAUAUGAUUGAAUUAGCCAUAUUUUAAAUUGAAUUUAUAUUUAUUUAUAUUUAUAUUUAUUUCUAAUAAUUAUUGGACUUUCCUUUUCUGAUUGAUGUACCUGUUGAAGCCUUUAUUAUCCUUCUUUGCAC
ensembl:lncRNA